rnacentral:rRNA from 1 species
UACGAAGGUGGCAAGCGUUGUUCGGAUUUACUGGGCGUACAGGGAGCGUAGGCGGUUCGGUAAGCCCUCUGUGAAAUCCCCAGGCUUAACCUGGGAACUGCAUUCGAGACUGCAUUGCUAGAGUAUGGGAGAGGGAAGUGGAAUUUCCGGUGUAGCGGUGAAAUGCGUAGAUAUCGGAAGGAACAUCAGUGGCGAAAGCGACUUCCUGGACCAAUACUGACGCUCAUGUGCGAAAGCGUGGGGAGCAAACAGG